UUAAGUGAUGAAGUUCUAUAUAUGUAUCUGUGUGGCAUGAGGUGUAAAAUAGUACAUAAGUUCUUUUUUUUACAACACAUAAGUUCUUUAAUAUAUGAGAAAGAUGCUUUCAUGUGCAAUAUUCAUCAUGUUUCUUUAAUGACAAUGUUGAGAACUAAAAAAUGUAUUUUUGAAAUAUAUUUUGUUUUAAAAAUAUUAUUAUAAAGCAUUUGGUUCUUCUAUAAAUAGAUCUGCUCUUGAUCAAAGCUCUUCACUCACCAAAGCAUUAGAUACAUUUUACUACUCUUCUAUUUCUCUUUAUAUCUGUCAUCUUUCGCUUUGUCAUAUCGAAAUGGCCACUGUUGUGGCUGAACAAGUGAUUGCUCCAGUAGCAGAGAACGUUGAGGUACCAGCAAAGGCAGUGGAGGAGCCAGAUGUAGAGACCAAACAGCCCGAAGAAGUCGUCGCCACGACAGACUCUGCUGCUGCUCCAGCCAGUGCCGUCCCGUAGUCGAGAGUGGCCUAAAGCAAAAAAAAAACGGGACGGGACUAGCUCCAGCCACCCUAAAAGAACAAGAAGCCGAAGCACCAGUCGUAGAAACGAGCAAAGAGGUGGUUGUGGAAGAGGCAGAGAAAAAAGAUGAAGAAACAGAAGAGCCAAAGAUAGAAGAGAAGGAGGAGGUGACUGAAACUCCGGCGGUUGUGGAGGAGAAGGAGAAGACUAAGGCUGAGGAAGUUGUGGCUGCUGGGGAAGUUGUCGCCGAGAAGGCCGAGGAGUAAAGAGGAAGAAACAAUAUAUUACCUUCUUUUUUUUUGGUAUAAAUAUAUUACCUUCUUUGGUCUCAUUUCGUUGUUAAAAAGAAUAUUACUUCACAAAAUUUCGUAAGUAUUUUCUAUCGUUUGUUAUGAUGAAAUGAUAUUUGGUUAUGAUGAAAUGAUAUAUUUGGGAGUUUUGACGGUUGUUAAUAGCUACAUUGUUUACAUG